GAGAAGCAAAGCCGCGAGGUAGAGCAAAUCUCAAAAAAACAUCUCAGUUCAGACUGCAGGCUGCAACUCGCCUGCACGAAGUCGGAAUUGCUAGUAAUCGUAGGUCAGCAUACUACGGUGAAUACGUUCCCGGGCCUUGUACACACCGCCCGUCAAACCAUGAGAGUUGGCAACACCCGAAGUCGGUAGUCUAACCGCAAGGAGGACGCCGCCGAAGGUGGGGUUGAUGAUUAGGGUUAAGUCGUAACAAGGUAGC
rnacentral:rRNA from 1 species